rnacentral:rRNA from 1 species
UACGUAGGGGGCUAGCGUUGUCCGGAAUCAUUGGGCGUAAAGAGCGUGUAGGCGGCCCGGUAAGUCCGCUGUGAAAGUCGGGGGCUCAACCCUCGGAUGCCGGUGGAUACUGUCGUGCUAGAGUACAGAAGGGGCAACUGGAAUUCUCGGUGUAGCGGUGAAAUGCGUAGAUAUCGAGAGGAACACCUGCGGCGAAGGCGGGUUGCUGGGCUGAUACUGACGCUGAGGCGCGAAAGCCAGGGGAGCGAACGGG